rnacentral:rRNA from 1 species
AAAUUGAAGAGUUUGAUCAUGGCUCAGAUUGAACGCUGGCGGCAGGCCUAACACAUGCAAGUCGAGCGGUAGCACAGAGAGCUUGCUCUCGGGUGACGAGCGGCGGACGGGUGAGUAAUGUCUGGGAAACUGCCUGAUGGAGGGGGAUAACUACUGGAAACGGUAGCUAAUACCGCAUAAUGUCGCAAGACCAAAGUGGGGGACCUUCGGGCCUCAUGCCAUCAGAUGUGCCCAGAUGGGAUUAGCUAGUAGGUGGGGUAACGGCUCACCUAGGCGACGAUCCCUAGCUGGUCUGAGAGGAUGACCAGCCACACUGGAACUGAGACACGGUCCAGACUCCUACGGGAGGCAGCAGUGGGGAAUAUUGCACAAUGGGCGCAAGCCUGAUGCAGCCAUGCCGCGUGUGUGAAGAAGGCCUUCGGGUUGUAAAGCACUUUCAGCGGGGAGGAAGGCGUUAAGGUUAAUAACCUUGGCGAUUGACGUUACCCGCAGAAGAAGCACCGGCUAACUCCGUGCCAGCAGCCGCGGUAAUACGGAGGGUGCAAGCGUUAAUCGGAAUUACUGGGCGUAAAGCGCACGCAGGCGGUCUGUCAAGUCGGAUGUGAAAUCCCCGGGCUCAACCUGGGAACUGCAUUCGAAACUGGCAGGCUAGAGUCUUGUAGAGGGGGGUAGAAUUCCAGGUGUAGCGGUGAAAUGCGUAGAGAUCUGGAGGAAUACCGGUGGCGAAGGCGGCCCCCUGGACAAAGACUGACGCUCAGGUGCGAAAGCGUGGGGAGCAAACAGGAUUAGAUACCCUGGUAGUCCACGCCGUAAACGAUGUCGAUUUGGAGGUUGUGCCCUUGAGGCGUGGCUUCCGGAGCUAACGCGUUAAAUCGACCGCCUGGGGAGUACGGCCGCAAGGUUAAAACUCAAAUGAAUUGACGGGGGCCCGCACAAGCGGUGGAGCAUGUGGUUUAAUUCGAUGCAACGCGAAGAACCUUACCUGGUCUUGACAUCCACAGAACUUUCCAGAGAUGGAUUGGUGCCUUCGGGAACUGUGAGACAGGUGCUGCAUGGCUGUCGUCAGCUCGUGUUGUGAAAUGUUGGGUUAAGUCCCGCAACGAGCGCAACCCUUAUCCUUUGUUGCCAGCGGUCCGGCCGGGAACUCAAAGGAGACUGCCAGUGAUAAACUGGAGGAAGGUGGGGAUGACGUCAAGUCAUCAUGGCCCUUACGACCAGGGCUACACACGUGCUACAAUGGCAUAUACAAAGAGAAGCGACCUCGCGAGAGCAAGCGGACCUCAUAAAGUAUGUCGUAGUCCGGAUUGGAGUCUGCAACUCGACUCCAUGAAGUCGGAAUCGCUAGUAAUCGUAGAUCAGAAUGCUACGGUGAAUACGUUCCCGGGCCUUGUACACACCGCCCGUCACACCAUGGGAGUGGGUUGCAAAAGAAGUAGGUAGCUUAACCUUCGGGAGGGCGCUUACCACUUUGUGAUUCAUGACUGGGGUGAAGUCGUAACAAGGUAACCGUAGGGGAACCUGCGGUUG